rnacentral:rRNA from 1 species
GACGAACGCUGGCGGCGUGCCUAAUACAUGCAAGUCGAACGCAGUGGGGACGGGUGAGUAACCCGUGGGUAACCUCCCCUCAGCGGGGCUAACACUUGGCAACAGGUGCUCUACCGAUACUGAUGGAUGGACCCGCGGUGCAUUAGCUAGUUGGUGAGGUAACGGCUCACCAGGGCCACGAUGCAUAGCGGGCCUGAGAGGGUGAUCGGCCACAAUGUGACUGAGACACGGCCCAGACUCCUACGGGAGGCAGCAGGGGGGAAUCUUCGGAAAUGGAGGAAAGUCUGACCGAGCAACGCCGCGUGAGUGAAGAAGGUUUUCGGAUCGUAAAGCUCUGUUGUUAGAGAAGCGGUAUCUAACCAGAAAGCCACGGCUAACUACGUGCCAGCAGCCGCGGUAAUUC